GGGGCUGAUUCUGGAUUCGACGGGAUUUGCGAAACCCAAGGUGCAUGCCGAGGGGCGGUUGGCCUCGUAAAAAGCCGCAAAAAAUAGUCGCAAACGACGAAAACUACGCUUUAGCAGCUUAAUAACCUGCUUAGAGCCCUCUCUCCCUAGCCUCCGCUCUUAGGCCGGGGAUCAAGAGAGGUCAAACCCAAAAGAGAUCGCGUGGAAGCCCUGCCUGGGGUUGAAGCGUUAAAACUUAAUCAGGCUAGUUUGUUAGUGGCGUGUCCGUCCGCAGCUGGCAAGCGAAUGUAAAGACUGACUAAGCACGUAGUCACGAGGAUGUAGGAA
rnacentral:tmRNA from 1 species